AUUUCGGAACCGCGGAAAGAAAAUCACGAUGUGUCACAGAGACGAUCUUCUGUAGGAAUUAAUAGAGAUCGAUAAAGACAGCACAUGUAACACACUAAAUAUUUCUGGAUGGUUGUGAAGAAAAGGCGACGUGGGAAAAGAUCGUCCACACUUACAACUCUGCUGGCUUGGAUCCCUACGAAUAUCUACGAUUUGGGAACAUCAUAAAUGCAGGACAAAGAAAGAACAUAGCGCACAGAGGGAAUGCAUGCAGACUGGAGGUGAUAGACCUUCUUCACAGGUAUCAGACUCGGCUUCUCAGAUUAACAAUAUUUUAGAUUCUGAUUAACCACACUGUAUCUCAGAGAUUUCUACUGAGCCACCUCCACCACCCUCAAAUCCUUUUGUAGAACCAUUCCUUCUGCCCCCUACGCCAUCUGCAAGUUGCCAGGCUGCUUCACCUGCAGUGCCUCCACCAGCAUCAGUGGCACCACAACCUCAGCACCUGCUUGUACAUCUCCGCCACAGCCAGCUGAACUAUCGAUAAUGCCAUCUGCUUUACCCUCAGUGUCAAGACAACGUCCAAAGUUUUUAUAUCGAGGCAAGUGUUAUGAAAAUACUGUGGCAAUGAAGGAAAAGGAACAUGCGCUUGAUAUAUACAUACAAGAAAGUGAAUAAUAUUACCUGAAAGUGCUAAAGGAAGUUAUAAUAUUUACUAAAAAUAUCGUACAAAUGGAAAAUUAGAGACAAGUAUUAGAUGGUCGUGUUGUGCGUGAAGCAGCAAUAGACGGUAAAAAAUAUUGUUAGUGAUUUCUUGAGGGACCAGCAUAAACAAAUAAAACGAAAAGAAAAUACUUAUCAUAAAGUAUAAUGUAACUUUUUUUGUCUGUUUGUUUGUAAUGAAACCGGUGUAACAUCACAUGGGUGUAUGUAAUGAUUUUUUUUCUUUUCAACACUAUAUUUUCACCGAUGUAUAUGCUGGUAUCUGUAUAUAUCAGUAUACAUACAUAAUUAAUAUAUAUC